CUGUGUAGCUGCGAGCGACAAGGGAAGAGCCCAGCACCGAAGCCACUGCUGUCUCGGCACGUGUGCAAUGUGGUGUACGGGAAGGUUCGAUCCGGUUGAGAGCCAGGUGUCAAAGUCCCCCUGACCGGGGCCACGACCCUAGGAGGGUGCAAGGCCCGUGCGGCCCGGCGUCUUUUUCUCUCCCGGUCGAGUCCCUCUCCCAGGAGUCGGGUUGCUUGAGAGUGCAGCCCUAAGUGGGUGGUAAAUUCCAUCUAAGGCUAAAUACUUACCAUGAGACCGAUAGCAAACAAGUACCGUGAGGGAAAGUUGCAAAGAACUUUGAAGAGAGAGUUCAAGAGUGCGUGAAACCGCUUAGAGGACAAGCGGGUGGGACCUCGAAGGUCGAACGGAAGGGUAGGGAUUCAGCCUCUCUGCCGACUGCCCGCCGGUGGGACUGUGAGUCGCCUGGAAUGGUUCGUCCGUUUCAAGGUGACGCUCCCUCGGUGUGUGGCGGUCGUUGCAUGAGGGGCGCAUUUCCCUCUGACCCCUCUCCUAGUAGGACGCCGCGACCGGUUGGAAUGUUGAACGCGGGAGACCAGAUGCCCUGGCCGCUGGUAGCUGCACGGGAGUUUAGGUUGUGCCGUUGCUCUGCGGCGGCCGCCUCUCCCGCUUGUCUGGCCUGGCCUUGGGGUGGUGUCUCUCACUCCGACCGAGGUGACGAGCGUGCCGUGUGGGACCGCAAGGUUCCCGGCGCGUCCAUGCCGCACCCCGCACUGUAAUGGUGCUCGGGCUGACGGAAUCCACCGGGCAAUGCAUGCCGGGUUGGGCAUCGAGUGACCGAGCUCGCCCCCUUCGGGGUGGCAAGCCACGGAGCUCGGCCCGCCUGGAAUGUUGCGCUGCCGUCUGGACGGAUGCUGGCUCCCGAUUGGGGUUGCCGUGGGUUCGGCGGCGAGUAGGUCGGUACCCCACCCGACCCGUCUUGAAACACGGACCAAGGAGUCUAACAUGCAUGCGAGUCUACGGGGAACUGCAAACCCCAAAGGCGUAAUGAAGGUGAAGCAGGCCACCUGUCUUGGCAAGAUCCCGGCUCCCAGCGAGCCCGGGCGCACUGCCGGCCCGUCCAACGAUCGCCACGUCGAUCGGGCGGAGCUAGAGCAUGCAUGUUGGGACCCGAAAGAUGGUGAACUAUGCCUGGGCAGGACGAGGCCAGAGGAAACUCUGGUGGAAGUCCGUAGCGAUUCUGACGUGCAAAUCGAUCGUCGGACCUGGGUAUAGGGGCGAAAGACUAAUCGAACCAUCUAGUAGCUGGUUCCCUCCGAAGUUUCCCUCAGGAUAGCUGGCUUACGGAGGAGAAAGAGAAAAACAGUUUCACCCGGUAAAGCGAACGAUUAGAGGCCUUGGGGUCGAAACGACCUCAACCUAUUCUCGAACUUUUAAUGGGUGAGAAUGCCGAAUUACUUGACUGAAUUCGUGCAAAGAACUGUGAGAGAGAGAAUGUGUGAGCCAAGUGGGCCACUUUUGGUAAGCAGAACUGGCGCUGUGGGUUGAACCAAAUGCCGGGUUAAGGCGCCCGAUGGGGACGCUCAUGAGAGCCCAUGAAAGGUGUUGGUUGCUAUAGACAGCAGGACGGUGGCCAUGGAAGUCGGAAUCCGCUAAGGAGUGUGUAACAACUCACCUGCCGAAGCAACUAGCCCUGAAAAUGGAUGGCGCUCCAGCGUCGAGCCGAUACCCGGCCGCCGGGGGACCUAACCACACCCCCCGGUGAGUAGGAGGGUCGCCACGGUGUGCGUAGAAGGCAUCGGGCGUGAGCCUGGCUGGAGCCGCCGUUGGUGCAGAUCUUGGUGGUAGUAGCAAAUACUCAAGUGAGAACCUUGGGGAUCGAUGUGGAGAAGGGUUCCAUGUGAACAGCAGUUGAACAUGGGUCAGUCGGUCCUAAGGAAUCGGAUAAUUCCGUUUCCACGGUCGGGCAUCUCUGGUGCCCUACGACCGAAAGGGAAUCCGGUUAAUAUUCCGGAACCAGGCCACGGAGAUCUGCCCCGCUUAGCUUGGCCUCCGGGUCGGGCGGCGGGGCACGAGGCGGUAACGCAAACGAACUCGGAGACUGUCGGUGGGAGUCCCGGGAAGAGUUUUCUUUUCUUUGUAAGGGACGUAACGCCCUGGAAUCGGCUUGGCCGGAGAUAGGGAUGUUGUUCCCGCAAAACACUGCGGCUCUUGCAGUGUUCGGCAAACUCUCACCGUCCCGUGAAAAUCCGAGGGAGCGAACGAUUUUCGUGCCUGACCGUACCCAUAUCCGCAGCAGGUCUCCUAGGUGAACAGCCUCUGAAUCAAUAGAACAAUGUAGGUAAGGGAAGUCGGCAAGCCAGAUCCGUAACUUCGGGAUAAGGAUUGGCUCUGAUGGCUGGGCCGGACGGGCUGGAGUUGGAAGCGGGUACGGGCACCGGAUCUGGGCUGAAUGAACCCUCCGCCUCUCGGGGCUGGAGAGCGGGAUUCGGACCUGGUGACGGGACCUUCUCGUGGAUGGCUUCAGCUGCGCGGCGGUGGGGUCAAACGUGGCUUGGUGGACCGCCCUCCUCGUUGGGGGCUUGGUUCCGAGCUGCGCCCAUCCGUUCGCUUCGUCCGGCAUGCAACAGCCGAAUCAGAACUGGCACGGACCAGNNNNNNNNNNNNNNNNNNNNNNNNNNNNNNNNNNNNNNNNNNNNNNNNNNNNNNNNNNNNNNNNNNNNNNNNNNNNNNNNNNNNNNNNNNNNNNNNNNNNGUUUGGAUUGUUCACCCACUAAUAGGGAACGUGAGCUGGGUUUAGACCGUCGUGAGACAGGUUAGUUUUACCCUACUAAUGACUCGUCACUGCGAUAGUAAUCCUGCUCAGUACGAGAGGAACCGCAGGUUCGGACCGUUGGUCCUUGUGCUUGGCCGAACGGCCAGUGGUGCGAAGCUACCAUCCGUUGGAUUACGACUGAAAGCCUCUAAGUCGGAAUCCGUGCUAGCCGCAGUGAUAAUCUGUGCACCUCGCUCCAUGCGCUGGCAAAGCCAGAUGGCGUGUUCGCUCCAAUGGGAUCGAGCGAUCGCCGGGACCCCCAUAUCCCGGGACGGAAAGCCCGCACUCCCUUUCGGUUCGGCACGUUGUCGGUGGAGCCUCGCGUUCAUAUGGAAGAUACGUCGUCGGUUCCGAGAGUCCACGGACUGACUUGCCUCGUCUGAACGAGAAUGCAUUUGCAAGGUAGAGGUGCCAAAUCGUCUGCAGACGACUUAGUUGCUAGUCCAGGCGUUGUACUUAGUAGAGCAGCUCCCACACUGCGAUC
rnacentral:rRNA from 1 species